rnacentral:rRNA from 1 species
AUGGCGGCUGUUGCUGCAAAGCCACACGUUUUGGUGGCCUGUGCCUUGCUGCUCCUCGCUGUGGGGUGCCAGGCCAGAUCUUUCUGGCCACUGGAGAUCGGCUACUACCACGACAAAUGCCCCCAGGCGGAGGCUGUCGUCAAGGGCGUCAUGGAGAAGGCCAUCUCUCAGAACCCCGGCAAUGGCGCCGCCAUGAUCCGCAUGCUCUUCCACGACUGUUUCGUCGAGGGCUGUCAUGCUUCCGUCCUCCUGGACCCGACCCCGUUCAGCCCGACGCCGGAGAAACUCAGCCCGCCGAACGACCCUACCCUACGCGGCUUCGAGCUGAUUCGAGGCGGCCUGCCCGGGCGUCGUCUCAUGUGCUGA